AAUAGAUACCCCGGUAGUCCACGCCGUAAACUAUGGAUGCUAGCUGUUAGAAGUAUCGACCCUUCUAGUAGCGAAGCUAACGCGUUAAGCAUCCCGCCUGUGGAGUACGAGCGCAAGCUUAAAACAUAAAGGAAUUGACGGGGACCCGCACAAGCGGUGGAGCGUGUUGUUUAAUUCGAUGAUAAGCGAAGAACCUUACCCAGGCUUGACAUCCUUGGAAUUUUGCCGAAAGGCGAGAGUGCUUUUAGAGCCAAGUGACAGGUGAUGCAUGGCCGUCGUCAGCUCGUGUCGUGAGAUGUUUGGCUAAGUCCAUCAACGAGCGCAACCCUUGUAGUUAGUUGUAUUUUUCUAGCUAGACUGCCCUGGUAACAGGAGGAAGGAGGGAGUGAUGUCAGGUCAGUAUUUCCCUUACGUCUGGGGCGUACAAACACGCUACAAUGGCGGUACAAAGCGCAGCCAACCCGCGAGGGGAGCAAAUCGCAUCAAAGCCGGUCUCAGUUCGGAUUGCAGGCUGAAACUCG
rnacentral:rRNA from 1 species